rnacentral:rRNA from 1 species
AUUGAACGCUGGCGGCAGGCCUAACACAUGCAAGUCGAGCGAGCGGCGGACGGGGGCGUAAUGCCUGGGAAUUGCCCAGUCGAGGGGGCGAACAGGUGGACACGACUGCUAAUACCGCAUACGAGUGGAGUGCACAGGUGGGAUUAGCUAGUUGUUGGGGUAAUGGCUCACCAAGGCGACGAUCCCUAGCGGGUCUGAGCGGAUGAUCAUGCACACUGGAACUGAGAAACGGUCCAGACUCCUACGGGAGGCAGCAGUGGGGAAUAUUGGACAAUGGGGGAAACCCUGAUGCAGCCAUGCCGCGUGUGUGAAGAAGGCCUUCGGGUUGUAAAGCACUUUCAGCGAGGAGGCGUUACUCGCAGAAGAAGCACCGGCUAACUCCGUGCCAGCAGCCGCGGUAAUUC